rnacentral:rRNA from 1 species
UGCAUGGUUGUCGUCAGCUCGUGCCGUGAGGUGUCGGCUUAAGUGCCAUAACGAGCGCAACCCUUAUCUUCAGUUACUAACAGGUUAUGCUGAGGACUCUGGAGAGACUGCCGUCGUAAGAUGUGAGGAAGGUGGGGAUGACGUCAAAUCAGCACGGCCCUUACGUCCGGGGCUACACACGUGUUACAAUGGGGGGUACAGAAGGCAGCUAGCGGGUGACCGUAUGCUAAUCCCGAAAGCCUCUCUCAGUUCGGAUCGAAGUCUGCAACCCGACUUCGUGAAGCUGGAUUCGCUAGUAAUCGCGCAUCAGCCACGGCGCGGUGAAUACGUUCCCGGGCCUUGUACACACCGCCCGUCAAGCCAUGGGAGCCGGGGGUACCUGAAGUACGUAACCGCAAGGAUCGUCCUAGGGUAAAACUGGUGACUGGGGCUAAGUCGUAACAAGGUAGCCGUACCGGAAGGUGCGGCUGGAACACCUCCUUU